GGAUGGAUCAUUUGAAUUAUUAUAUAAUUUUGACAUGAUGAAUGUGUGCGAUAAGCACCAGUACUAGAUGAUAUAAAGUUCAUCUCAAUACGAUGCAGUUUGCAUCAAUUUUUGAUUAACAUCACAUUAAACUUGUUCGUUCAAUGUAUUUAAACCUAACGACUUUUGGCGAUGGAUGUCUCGGUUCUUGCUUCGAUGAAGGACGCAGCUUACUGCGAGAAGCAGUGUGACUUGCAGAAUUCAGAGAAACACUUGAUUUUUGAACGCAAACGGUACCCUUUGGUUUUUCCAGAGGGUAUGUCCAGUUCAGUGCCAUAUAUUUGUGCUAUUCCAAAAGCGGAGUAGCGUGAAUAGAUGCUGUAUGUAUAUGGCAUCUUAACUUUAAUAAUACCUAUUCUUUGUUGGUGACCAUCAUUCAAAGCAAGAGGUAUGCAGUAACAAUAUAUAAAAGGUCUGAGCUUGGGCAAGGCUACCCGCUGAAUUUAAGCAUAUUAUUAAGCGGAGGAAGAGAAACUAACAAGGAUUCCUUUAGUAACGGCGAGUGAACAAGGAAGAGCUCAAAUUGAAAAUCAACGGUUAUCCGUAGAAUUGUAGUCUCUUGAAAUAACGCCAGUGGUUGCUUCGAAACAAGUCUCUUGGAAUAGAGUACCAAAGAGGGUGAAAGUCCCGUCUUUUUCGAAGUCAAUUACAAUCGGUUAACUUUCAUAGAGUCGCGUUUCUUGCAAUUGAAGCGCUAAGUGGGUGAUAAACUUCAUCUAAAGCUAAAUAUUAGCAAGAGUCCGAUAGAGAACAAGUACCGUGAGGGAAAGAUGAAAAGAACUCUGAAAAGAGAGUUAAAAGGAACUGAAAUUGCAAGAGGAAAGUGGAGUGAUGAGGCAGUAUGUUGUGAAAUUGCUAUUUGAGUAUCAAAUCUCGGUGGCCGUUUCUGACUUACCUUUGGAAACAAUGUGUAAAAGGCGCCGCUUGCUUUGCAACUUAAUCUUUUAGGUUGACUGCAUAGUAAAGUGAGUCUUUAUCAUAUUGUAAACCUCGCUUAGUUCUACUAUGUGAUUUUCCAAAGUAGUCUAAUCUCUCUAUCCCGUCUUGAAACACGGACCAAGGAGUCUAUCUCAUGUGCGAGUGUAAAGGUGACAAACCUGUGCGCGGAACGAACGUAAUUGCCGAGAUGGGUAACUUGCAUCGGCAUCCAGCCACCAGGUUGAGAUUGAGCACAUGGGCUAGGACCCGAAAGAUGGUGAACUAUACCUGAGUAGGGUGAAGUCAGAGGAAACUCUGAUGGAGGCUCGUAGCGAUACUGACGUGCAAAUCGUUCGUCAAACUUGGGUAUAGGGGCGAAAGACUAAUCGAACCAUCUAUCUAGUAGCUGGUUCCCUC
rnacentral:misc_RNA from 1 species